rnacentral:ncRNA from 1 species
UGACCAAGGGGCCGGGCUGUUCUGAUUGUUGCAGGAUCGGAGUGGCCUAGGGGGUACAGGGAGUGCCUCCAGCAAUGGGCCGGGUCAGGAAAGGC